AACGAACGCUGGCGGCAUGCCUAACACAUGCAAGUCGAACGAGACCUUCGGGUCUAGUGGCGCACGGGUGCGUAACGCGUGGGAACCUGCCCUUAGGUUCGGAAUAACUCCCCGAAAGGGGUGCUAAUACCGGAUAAUGUCUUCGGACCAAAGAUUUAUCGGCUUUGGAUGGGCCCGCGUUGGAUUAGCUUGUUGGUAGGGUAAAAGCGUACCAAGGCGACGAUCCAUAGCUGGUUUGAGAGGAUGAUCAGCGACACUGGGAGUGAGACACGGCCCAGACUCGUACGGGAGGGGGGAGUGGGGGAUAGUGGAGGAGGGGGGGAGGGCUGAUGGAGCGAUGAGGGGUGAGUGGUGAAGGCAUGGGGGUGGGAAAGCGCUUUUACCCGGGAUGGUAGUGACGGUACCGGGAGAGUAAGCGCCGGCUAACUACGUG
rnacentral:rRNA from 1 species